rnacentral:rRNA from 1 species
CACGGAGUUAGCCGAUCCUUAUUCUCACGGUACAUUCAGCCCGGUAUACAUACCGGGGGUUAUUCCCGUGCAAAAGCAGUUUACAACCCGUAGGGCCGUCUUCCUGCACGCGGCAUGGCUGGUUCAGGGUUCCCCCCAUUGACCAAUAUUCCUUACUGCUGCCUCCCGUAGGAGUCUGGUCCGUGUCUCAGUACCAGUGUGGGGGUUUCUCCUCUCAGAGCCCCUAGACAUCGUCGCCUUGGUGGGCCGUUACCCCGCCAACCAGCUAAUGUCACGCGAGCCCAUCCGUCCCCUAUGAAUAUUUAAAUGAAGGCCCAUGCGGACCUGCAUUCUCAUGCGGUAUUAAUCCGGAUUUCUCCGGGCUAUCCCCCUGGGACGGGCAGGUUGCUCACGCGUUACGCACCCGUGCGCCACUCUCACGGGGACCGAAGCCCCCGAUCCCGUUCGACUUGCAUGUAUUAGGCCUGCCGCUAGCGUUCAUCCUGAGCCAGGAUCAAACUC